rnacentral:rRNA from 1 species
UGAUCAACCUACCGUAGAGCGGGGGAUAACUAGCCGAAAGGUUAGCUAAUACCGCAUAGGUCGGCGUCGGCAUCGACGCGUGACGAAAGAAGCAAUUCACUCUAUGACGGGAUCGCGCCCGAUUAGUUAGUUGGCGAGGUAAUGGCUCACCAAGACAUCGAUCGGUAGCUGGUUUGAGAGAGCGACCAGCCACACUGGAACUGAGAAACGGUCCAG